AACAAGUAUUAAAGGUGAUGCCUGCCCAGUGAUUCUUUCAACGGCCGCGGGAUCCUACACCGUGCAAAGGUAGCAUAAUCACUUGUCACCUAAAUAGUGACUAGUAUGAACGGCCCAAUGAGGACCUUACUGUCUCUUGUAACCAAUCAAUGAAACUGAUCUUCUAGUUCAAAAGCUAGAAUAAAAACACAAGACGAAAAGACCCUGUGGAACUUUUAAGUGUCAACCAUCAUAUGAUAUAACCACUUUUAGUUGGGGCAACUUUGGAAUAAAGAAAAACUUCCAAUUAAUCUUAUCUUUCCCUAAUCUAGGUCUACAUACCAACAUUAAUGAUACUUCUGACCCAGUCCUACUGAUUAAAGAAACAAGCUACCCCAGGGAUAACAGCGCCAUCCCCUCUUAGAGUCCCAAUCGACGAGUGGGGCUUACGACCUCGAUGUUGGAUCAGGGCCCCCCAGCAGUGCAGCAGCUGCUAAAGGUUUGUUUGUUCAACAAUUAAUGCCCUACGUGAUCUGAGUUAAGACCGGAGUAAUCCA
rnacentral:rRNA from 1 species